UACGAAGGGGGCUAGCGUUGUCCGGAAUCACUGGGCGUAAAGCGCACGUAGGCGGGUCCUUAAGUCGGGGGUGAAAUCCUGGAGCUCAACUCCAGAACUGCCUUCGAUACUGAGGACCUCGAGUCCGGGAGAGGUGAGUGGAACUCCGAGUGUAGAGGUGAAAUUCGUAGAUAUUCGGAAGAACACCAGUGGCGAAGGCGGCUCACUGGCCCGGUACUGACGCUGAGGUGCGAAAGCGUGGGGAGCAAACAGG
rnacentral:rRNA from 1 species